rnacentral:rRNA from 1 species
ACGGAAGGCAGCAGUCGGGAAUAUUGCGCAAUGGAGGAAACUCUGACGCAGUGACGCCGCGUAUAGGAAGAAGGUUUUAGGAUUGUAAACUAUUUUAGACAGGGGAGAAAAAGGACUGUACCUGUAGAAUAAGCUCCGGCUAACUACGUGCCAGCAGCCGCGGUAAUACGUAGGGAGCAAGCGUUAUCCGGAAUUAUUGGGUGUAAAGGGUGCGUAGACGGGAAUUUAAGUUGGUUGUGAAAUCCCUCGGCUUAACUGAGGAACUGCAACCAAAACUGAAUUUCUUGAGUGCAGGAGAGGAAAGCGGAAUUCCUAGUGUAGCGGUGAAAUGCGUAGAUAUUAGGAGGAACACCAGUGGCGAAGGCGGCUUUCUGGACUGUAACUGACGUUGAUGCACGAAAGUGUGGGGAGCAAACAGGAUUAGAUACCCUGGUA